ACAGAUAUCUCUUUAUUAUGACUAAAGAGAUAUUUGGAUGGAAACAUUAAAGUAUGACUUUAGUGUGUUCCAUUAUGAAUGCAAGAUAUAUUGCCAUAUAGAAGUUUACACAACAAUGUUGUUUGGAUGGGAAAAGUUCAUUUAUGAACUCUCUAUUCGGUUCCAACCAGAAAGUGUAUGACACUAAUGGGGCGAUAGCUCAAGCCUGGGAAUCAAGGUCUCAUCAAGAUCCGAACUCAAAUGAGAGACUAAACCACAUGAUUGAGAAUCAUGUAUAAUGGUGACGUCGUUAUUCUCAAGGUUGCUUCUAUGGAUAACACAUAUAGAUGUCCACUGUCUAGGCCUACUAUUCAGCCAUUUAUGAAAUGACUACAGAAGAGG
rnacentral:lncRNA from 1 species